rnacentral:rRNA from 1 species
CGCGUAGGCGGUUUGAUAAGUGGGAUGUGAAAGCCCCGGGCUUAACCUGGGAACUGCAUUCCAAACUGUCAGGCUAGAGUAUGGUAGAGGGAGGUGGAAUUUCCUGUGUAGCGGUGAAAUGCGUAGAUAUAGGAAGGAACACCAGUGGCGAAGGCGGCCUCCUGGACCAAUACUGACGCUGAGGUGCGAAAGCGUGGGGAGCAAACA